rnacentral:rRNA from 1 species
AUUGAACGCUGGCGGCAGGCUUAACACAUGCAAGUCGAGCGGGGGAAGGUAGCUUGCUACCGGACCUAGCGGCGGACGGGUGAGUAAUGCUUAGGAAUCUGCCUAUUAGUGGGGGACAACAUCUCGAAAGGGAUGCUAAUACCGCAUACGUCCUACGGGAGAAAGCAGGGGAUCUUCGGACCUUGCGCUAAUAGAUGAGCCUAAGUCGGAUUAGCUAGUUGGUGGGGUAGAGGCCUACCAAGGCGACGAUCUGUAGCGGGUCUGAGAGGAUGAUCCGCCACACUGGGACUGAGACACGGCCCAGACUCCUACGGGAGGCAGCAGUGGGGAAUAUUGGACAAUGGGGGGAACCCUGAUCCAGCCAUGCCGCGUGUGUGAAGAAGGCCUUAUGGUUGUAAAGCACUUUAAGCGAGGAGGAGGCUACUCUAGUUAAUACCUAGGGAUAGUGGACGUUACUCGCAGAAUAAGCACCGGCUAACUCUUUGCCAGCAGCCGCAGUAA